AGGAAGGCAGCAGGCGCGCAAAUUACCCAAUGCUAAUUCAGCGAGGUAGUGACAAUAAAUACUGAUACGGGGCUCUUUCGGGUCUCGUAAUUGGAAUGAGUACAAUCUAAAUCCCUUAACGAGGAACAAUUGGAGGGCAAGUCUGGUGCCAGCAGCCGCGGUAAUUCCAGCUCCAAUAGCGUAUAUUAAAGUUGUUGCCGUUAAAAAGCUCGUAGUUGAACCUUGGACCUGGCUGAUCUGUCCUCCUAAUCGAGCGCACGGAUUCGGUCGGGUCUUUCCUUCUGGGGAGCCCUAUGCCCUUCACUGGGUGUAGUGGGGAACCAGGACUUUUACCUUGAAAAAAUUAGAGUGUUCAAAGCAGGCCUUUGCUCGAAUACAUUAGCAUGGAAUAAUAGAAUAGGACAUCGGUUCUAUUUUGUUGGUUUCUAGGACCGCUGUAAUGAUUAAUAGGGAUAGUCGGGGGCGUCAGUAUUCAAUUGUCAGAGGUGAAAUUCUUGGAUUUAUUGAAGACUAACUACUGCGAAAGCAUUCGCCAAGGAUGUUUUCAUUAAUCAGUGAACGAAAGUUAGGGGAUCGAAGACGAUCAGAUACCGUCGUAGUCUUAACCAUAAACUAUGCCGACUAGGGAUCGGACGGUGGUUUUUUUAUGCCCCGUUCGGCACCUUACGAGAAAUCAAAGUUUUUGGGCUCGGGGGGGAGUAUGGUCGCAAGGCUGAAACUUAAAGAAAUUGACGGAAGGGCA
rnacentral:rRNA from 1 species